rnacentral:rRNA from 1 species
UACGGAGGGGGCUAGCGUUGUUCGGAAUUACUGGGCGUAAAGCGCACGUAGGCGGCUUUGUAAGUUAGAGGUGAAAGCCCGGGGCUCAACCCCGGAAUUGCCUUUAAGACUGCAUCGCUAGAAUUGUGGAGAGGUAAGUGGAAUUCCGAGUGUAGAGGUGAAAUUCGUAGAUAUUCGGAAGAACACCAGUGGCGAAGGCGGCUCACUGGACGACUGUUGACGCUGAGGUGCGAAAGCGUGGGGAGCAAACAGG